rnacentral:rRNA from 1 species
AGCGAACGCUGGCGGCAGGCCUAACACAUGCAAGUCGAACGAACUCUUCGGAGUUAGUGGCGGACGGGUGAGUAACACGUGGGAACGUGCCUUUUGGUUCGGAAUAACUCAGGGAAACUUGUGCUAAUACCGAAUGUGCCCUUCGGGGGAAAGAUUUAUCGCCAUUAGAGCGGCCCGCGUCUGAUUAGCUAGUUGGUGAGGUAACGGCUCACCAAGGCGACGAUCAGUAGCUGGUCUGAGAGGAUGACCAGCCACACUGGGACUGAGACACGGCCCAGACUCCUGCGGGAGGAGGCGGGGGGAAAUCUUGCGAAAGGGGCGAAGGCCUGACGAAGCAAGGCCGGGUGAAUAAUGAGGUUUUUAGGAUUGAAAAUUUCUUCGCCGGGGGAGGAUAAGGACGGAACCGGGAAAAGAGGCCCCGGCUAGCUUCGUG